CUUGUACACACCGCCCGUCACACCAUGGGAGUGGGUUCUACCAGAAGUAGUUAGCUUAACCGCAAGGAGGGCGAUUACCACGGUAGGGCUCAUGACUGGGGUG
rnacentral:rRNA from 1 species